rnacentral:tRNA from 1 species
UCUGGAGUAGCUUAAAGCAAAGCAUUGAUUUUGUAAUUCAAAGAAGGAGUUUCUCCCUCCAGAUC